UACAGAGGGUGCGAGCGUUGUCCGGAAUCACUGGGCGUAAAGGGCGCGUAGGUGGUGGCUUAAGCGUGCGGUGAAAGCUCGGGGCUCAACCCCGAGUCGGCCGUGCGAACUGGGCUCACUGGAGCAUAGUAGAGGCAGGUGGAAUUCCGGGUGUAGCGGUGGAAUGCGUAGAGAUCCGGAAGAACACCGGUGGCGAAGGCGGCUCUCUGGACCGAUACUGACGCUCAUGCACGAAAGCGUGGGGAGCGAACAGG
rnacentral:rRNA from 1 species